CCGAUACCGGGGUAUAGCCCAUGGAAACGUGGAUUAACACCCCAUAGUACUUUUAUCCUGCCUGGGAUGUGAGUUAAAUGUUCAAGGUAUCGGAUGGGCAUGCGUCCUAUUAGUUAGUUGGCGGGGUAACAGCCCACCAAGACGAUGAUAGGUAGGGGUUCUGAGAGGAAGGUCCCCCACAUUGGAACUGAGACACGGUCCAA
rnacentral:rRNA from 1 species